GUGUGUGGCUCAGUGGUAGAGUGCUCGCCUAGCACACAUGAGGCACUGGGUUCGAUCCUCAGCACCACA
rnacentral:tRNA from 1 species